UACGUAGGGGGCAAGCGUUGUCCGGAUUUAUUGGGCGUAAAGAGCGUGUAGGCGGCCUGGUAGGUCAGCUGUGAAAACUCGAGGCUCAACCUCGAGACGCCGGUUGAAACCAUCAGGCUAGAGUCCGGAAGAGGAGAGUGGAAUUCCCGGUGUAGCGGUGAAAUGCGCAGAUAUCGGGAAGAACACCCGUGGCUAAGGCGGCUCUCUAGUACGGUACUGACGCUGAGACGCGAAAAGCGUGGGGAGCCGAACGAGG
rnacentral:rRNA from 1 species